UAUACAAAUUAUUUCUGUAUAUUGCUCGUUUCAUAUUUGUUUGUUUCAUAGUAUUUGCUCGUUUCAUAUGAUAACUACCUGGGAAUAAUGAGUGUUAAUGAGUGUUUCAUUCGUGUAUGAAUCCCUCGAGCGGUAAACCGAGGGAAGGUAGCUCAGGGAGGGAGGUCAAGCCGGCAGUCUAUCUGUGGUAUAGCAGCCGCACACACCUUGUUGGAUUGAAACCUGUGGAUUUAUUCCAUGUGAGCGCCAGAGACUGAGAACGAGGAUGUGAGUACCUGGCUAGCCUUUCACUUCGUGUAUUCGAGAAGGAUGAGGAGCGAAGCAAUGGGGCAGAGAGUCAGCGAGCCAGCGAGUCAGCAGUGGACGCUCUUAAUAUACAGCAGAAGAAACAAGCCUGGGAGGAAAUAUGCUGAAAUGGAGAGUUGAGGAGGUGGGCCAGACAUCAGCUCACGACAUUGUUGGAACACGCGGUGUUGCCGCUUCUUCCAUGUGAAGAGCGUAUGGCUUGAGAUACCGGGUAUUUAGCAGUUCUUUUAUUUCCGCUUGUAAAUAAACAAAAAGUACUUCUUAUUCUAUUAGCUAAACUAAGACAAUAAAUGUGAACAGUCAACAGCACAAGACUCGUAUCCAGUUUGCGCGCGAACACGCGGUGUUGCCGCUUCUUCCAUGUGAAGAGCGUAUGGCUUGAGAUACCGGAUAUUUAGCAGUUCUUUUACUUCCACUUGUAAAUAAAUAAAAUGUACUUAUUAUUCUAUUAGCUAAACUAAGACAACAAAUGUGAACAGUCAACAGCACAAAACUCCUCUCCAGUUUGCGCGCGCAUUUCUCUGCUGUGGCGUGUUUUGUGGCUCCCCGCUGAACACUUCUAUCUCUUGACGCUGUGAGUUAGGCUACUUUGACGGUGACUUGAACACUACCACACUGGGCUGCUGUGUGUGUGAGGAAGGUGUGGUGGAGCUGUGAAGUGUGGCUGAGGUGGUGGAGGGAAGCAAGCUGUGUGUUACUCGACAACCAUCACCACCACCACCGCCGCCAUGUCGUCUUCGUCUUCUUCCUUCUCUUUAUUCUUUUCCUCCUUUCCCUCCGCUGACGUGUGUGUGGUGUUCCUUGACCGCCGUCAUGAGAAAGAGAAUAUGGAAGGUAGGUACAGCUCCUACUUGCGCAGGCUUUGACGUCAAAAUUUAAUGUAAUCA